CAGACUUCAAACACACCCACGCCUGGUUUGGUUAAUCUUCUCCGUGUGAGCUUAAACAAGUUGGGAUCAUGUCUUUAGGAUAAGCUACCGAAGGUUUCUGUUAAUGUUUAGAUAGAUCAGUGGCGUUCCCGAAGAUCCUCGACCUGUCUUGUGUUUGUGUUUAGACAGGAAACACUCAGCUGAUGUUGUUUGGAUAGGGAACGCAGCCAGGUGUGGCAGGCAUGAGAGGCAGAUAGACCCAUGUUGAUACAGUUCUUUUUCUCUUGUCUCUGUGCAGCUGUGGGACUUUACUGACUGAAACAGUUAAAAUAUGAUACACACACACACACCCCAGUCACAUCCAUAGACAAAUGUUUUACCAGCGCCUGAUCUGAAAUUGGAUCGCUCUCCAAACUUUUUUCCGUUCUUACAGAAACGUCUGCCCGUUGACUGUGAUAUCAGAUUCUCGUCUGAGUUAUUUCAGUAAAUGUUACAAUUAUUUGCAUUUGUCGCUAACAGAAAUGGGAGGGGACAGAAGGAAUGGAUCGGUGCUGCUGGUCGGACCGGUCUAACGAGAAAAGGGAGGGCAGGAGGUGGCCAGCAGGCAGCUUCUUUGAUACAAAAGGAAACCAGGUGUCAGAGGAGCGAUAGGAGCAGCAAGGAAGCGCUCACAGCUCCGCUCCAGGUCAAGUAGUUAUGAAGCUCUGCGAUACAAGCUUUACUGCGCUGGUUCACAACAGGAUUACCUAAAGAGUCAGGUCGGUUCUGCCAGCGUGGGCUCAUGUUCAUCUGCCUCCUCAGCUGCUGUUUAAAGUCAAGUCGGAUUUCUGCCAGAACCUCCAUCAUCUGGCACCAUGAGCAGCUACGGGGAGGGAAAUGGAGACGAGGGGAACCAAGAACCCAGACUGCCACAGAACGUCAAACCCAAACCCUACCAGAACGAUCAGAACUGCAAGGAGGAUCAGAACCGUAAGGAAGACCUCAUGAAGAAGGACAAACCACAGAAAGCGCGGCGGUCCAGGAGUACUGACUCUGAGAGAUCAAGCAGAGGGAGGAGAAGGGAACGUGAAUGGCGCCACUGGGAGAGGCCUCAGCGCGGCAGGAGCGAGGAGCCCCGGAGACGGGACAGGAUGGAAGGAGACCGGAAGCAGGACCAACCUGAUGAGGACGUUGUUGAGGACACAGAGUGCAAUGUGUGCUUCUGCUCUUAUGACAAUGUCUUCAAGACCCCCAAGCUGCUGGCGUGUGGACACACCUUCUGCCUGGAGUGCCUGGCUCGCAUCAAUGUGACAUCUCAGGAGAUCAAGUCCCUGACCUGUCCCAUGUGCCGCGAGGUGACGGAGCUGCCCCAUGGUCGGGACCUGCCCCGCCUGGGCAACAACCAGGACAUCAUCAGCAGGCUGCCAGCGGAGAUGCAGCGUGCGCUCUCCAUCCGCUUCAAACGCAGCAAGGGGAAGCUGAUGCUGAAGCACCCCACUCAGAAAAGCAAGACCACCUCUGUCUCCUUCUCCAAGAAGAAUCCGGAUGCUCCGCCCAUCCCAGCCAUGGGUGACCUGAGCGUUGUGGAGCAGGGUAUCACCCCGGCCAACAUGGUGGACGUAGGAAGACCCCCUAACAGGAUGCAUGGCCGUAUGCGCCGCCUGUUCCGCUCAGAUCAGUGCUACUACGCCGUGGUGGCGUCCAUCAUCACCAUCACCGUGGCGCUCAUGCUGGUGGGAAUCCUGGCCUUCGUCAUCAUCCCAACCAUACCCAACCAAACACCCAAGAACCACACCACGUUUCCUCCACAUUACGGAUUGGACAACGGCGGAGAUGAGCCAUGAACAGGUCGGAGAGAGGCUCUGGGAAGUCUUUGUAUUAGUUUUCUUUGGUAUGAAAAGGUGAAGGAAGGACUGCUGAUGAUGACGCACUCGUGCAACCAUGAAAUGGAGGGAAACCAGAACGGCAGCAUGUUUCCAUCAGAGAACGAAACCGCUGCUCAUGAAGGAAACGUGACCACCUCCGGGUUUAAUGUGAAGACAGACAUCUGGACAAACUAAAUGCUCCAGUUGUUAAAAAGGCACUAAAAUCAGAUUUAAAGUGUGUAGCAGGAAGUGAGGUCUUCCUGUCCAACUAAGAUUCCAGUCUCUCAGGUGUAAAGGCCUCGUCUUCAGCCUCCUGCCCUCAAGUGGUGAAAACACACCUGUUGGCAGAAACUCCCCCUCAGCCGCGCGCUUCCCACUCCUCAAACCCAUAUGCCAACAUGUCGUUCGGAUGUCUGAUGCCGGCUCAAGGACUGUUGUCAACAACAGGCUGCGGGAAUGUCAUAAGAGUCAAGGAGAACAUCUGAGUCUGAUCCAGGUGACGCAGGUCUCUGAGUUUGUUGUUGUUUAAACAGGAUGUUUUCACACUUACUCAGCAGCAAAAAGGUCACACAACUGAAGAUUGUGUUUGUUUUGACUACUUCUGUAUGACCUCUUUCUUGAAUGUGUGGACAUUUAACAUCCACCCAUGCAUGUGUCAUUUAUCCAUCCAUCAUCCACGUUAAACACGACUUUUCCCAUUGGUGCAGGAACCUUUAGCCAGUUUUAUAGAUCUGAAGAUGGUGCUGGAGUGUUGACUUUUGACCUUGAUGUGAACUGCCUAGGAAGUCUACUCCAGAGGCGACGGUCAGCUGUCUAAUGUGUUUCCCACCCUUUCUCUCUGCAGAACGAUGGACUUGCUAUAGUUUGGAAAUUACCUUUGACCUUCUCCCAACAAUGGUUGCAUCUAAUGUCUGUCUUCCCUGUGUUAACACACACCUGUAUACUCCAGAGCAGCUGAACAAACUCCUCCCACUGGGAUCAUCACAGAUGAUUAAAACUUAAAAAAAAAAGAUUCAUUCGAGUUCAAUUUUGUAAUCAACACACACACACACACACACACACACACACGGCUGUCAUCAGACUGAGUCAAUAAGCUAAUCAUCCUAAUCAGCGAUGUUUUAUAUUUUGGUCCAUGAACACAAGCAGCUUUAAAAGGAUAU